rnacentral:rRNA from 1 species
UACGUAGGGGGCAAGCGUUGUCCGGAUUUAUUGGGCGUAAAGCGCUCGCAGGUGGUUCGUCGCGUCGUGCGUGAAAGACCCCGGCUCAACUGGGGAGGGUCGUGCGAUACGGGCGGACUGGAGGCCAGUAGGGGGAUGCGGAAUUCCGGGUGUAGUGGUGGAAUGCGUAGAGAUCCGGAGGAACACCAGCGGCGAAGGCGGCAUCCUGGACCAUUACUGACGCUGAGGAGCGAAAGCCAGGGGAGCAAAGCGGG